AGACCCGAAACCCGGUGAUCUAGCCAUGGGCAGGUUGAAGGUUGGGUAACACUAACUGGAGGACCGAACCGACUAAUGUUGAAAAAUUAGCGGAUGACCUGUGGCUGGGGGUGAAAGGCCAAUCAAACCGGGAGAUAGCUGGUUCUCCCCGAAAGCUAUUUAGGUAGCGCCUCGUGAAUUCAUCUCCGGGGGUAGAGCACUGUUUCGGCUAGGGGGCCAUCCCGGCUUACCAACCCGAUGCAAACUGCGAAUACCGGAGAAUGUUAUCACGGGAGACACACGGCGGGUGCUAACGUCCGUCGUGAAGAGGGAAACAACCCAGACCGCCAGCUAAGGUCCCAAAGUCAUGGUUAAGUGGGAAACGAUGUGGGAAGGCCCAGACAGCCAGGAUGUUGGCUUAGAAGCAGCCAUCAUUUAAAGAAAGCGUAAUAGCUCACUGGUCGAGUCGGCCUGCGCGGAAGAUGUAACGGGGCUAAACCAUGCACCGAAGCUGCGGCAGCGACACUAUGUGUUGUUGGGUAGGGGAGCGUUCUGUAAGCCUGUGAAGGUGU
rnacentral:rRNA from 1 species